rnacentral:rRNA from 1 species
UGAGGAAUCUGUUCAUCGGCGGGGGAUAGCCGGCCCAACGGCCGGGUAAUACCGCGUACGUCGGCGGGAGCGCAUGCUCCUGCCGGGAAAGCAGCAAUGCACCGAUGGAGGAUCUCGCGGCCUAUCAGCUUGUUGGUGAGGUCACGGCUCACCAAGGCGACGACGGGUAGCUGGUCUGAGAGGAUGGCCAGCCACAUUGGAACUGAGACACGGUCCAGACUCCG